rnacentral:rRNA from 1 species
GACGAACGCUGGCGGCGUGCUUAACACAUGCAAGUCGAACGGAAAGGCCCUGCUUUUGUGGGGUGCUCGAGUGGCGAACGGGUGAGUAACACGUGAGUAACCUGCCCUUGACUUUGGGAUAACUUCAGGAAACUGGGGCUAAUACCGGAUAGGAGCUCCUGCUGCAUGGUGGGGGUUGGAAAGUUUCGGCGGUUGGGGAUGGACUCGCGGCUUAUCAGCUUGUUGGUGGGGUAGUGGCUUACCAAGGCUUUGACGGGUAGCCGGCCUGAGAGGGUGACCGGCCACAUUGGGACUGAGAUACGGCCCAGACUCCUACGGGAGGCAGCAGUGGGGAAUAUUGCACAAUGGGCGGAAGCCUGAUGCAGCAACGCCGCGUGCGGGAUGACGGCCUUCGGGUUGUAAACCGCUUUCGCCUGUGACGAAGCGUGAGUGACGGUAAUGGGUAAAGAAGCACCGGCUAACUACGUGCCAGCAGCCGCGGUGAUACGUAGGGUGCGAGCGUUGUCCGGAUUUAUUGGGCGUAAAGGGCUCGUAGGUGGUUGAUCGCGUCGGAAGUGUAAUCUUGGGGCUUAACCCUGAGCGUGCUUUCGAUACGGGUUGACUUGAGGAAGGUAGGGGAGAAUGGAAUUCCUGGUGGAGCGGUGGAAUGCGCAGAUAUCAGGAGGAACACCAGUGGCGAAGGCGGUUCUCUGGGCCUUUCCUGACGCUGAGGAGCGAAAGCGUGGGGAGCGAACAGGCUUAGAUACCCUGGUAGUCCACGCUGUAAACGGUGGGUACUAGGUGUGGGGUCCAUUCCACGGGUUCCGUGCCGUAGCUAACGCUUUAAGUACCCCGCCUGGGGAGUACGGCCGCAAGGCUAAAACUCAAAGGAAUUGACGGGGCCCCGCACAAGCGGCGGAGCAUGCGGAUUAAUUCGAUGCAACGCGUAGAACCUUACCUGGGUUUGACAUGGAUCGGGAGUACUCAGAGAUGGGUGUGCCUCUUUUGGGGUCGGUUCACAGGUGGUGCAUGGCUGUCGUCAGCUCGUGUCGUGAGAUGUUGGGUUAAGUCCCGCAACGAGCGCAGCCCUUGUUCACUGUUGCCAGCACGUUAUGGUGGGGACUCAGUGGAGACCGCCGGGGUCAACUCGGAGGAAGGUGGGGAUGACGUCAAGUCAUCAUGCCCCUUAUGUCCAGGGCUUCACGCAUGCUACAAUGGCUGGUACAGAGAGUGGCGAGCCUGUGAGGGUGAGCGAAUCUCGGAAAGCCGGUCUCAGUUCGGAUUGGGGUCUGCAACUCGACCUCAUGAAGUCGGAGUCGCUAGUAAUCGCAGAUCAGCAACGCUGCGGUGAGUACGUUCCCGGG